rnacentral:rRNA from 1 species
UACGUAGGGACCAAGCGUUGUUCGGAUUUACUGGGCGUAAAGGGCGCGUAGGCGGCGUGACAAGUCACUUGUGAAAUCUCUGGGCUUAACCCAGAACGGCCAAGUGAAACUGUUGUGCUAGAGUGCAGAAGGGGCAAUCGGAAUUCUCGGUGUAGCGGUGAAAUGCGUAGAUAUCGAGAGGAACACCAGAGGUGAAGACGGGUUGCUGGGCUGACACUGACGCCGAGGAGCGAAAGCCAGGGGAGCAAACGGG